rnacentral:lncRNA from 1 species
AUGGUGUUGAUGUUGACGAAGACCUUAGAAGAAAGGUGAACAUUGUAGUAUUUGGUUUUAGAGUCAUUAUUCUCGUUAACGGACCUAAUGGUGAAGAUGAACAAUGGCGUUUUCGGGAACAACACACACUCAACCACAAGAAUAACGCGAUUAGACCACUGGUUAUAAGGAAGGUGAUGCAACUUGUGCAAUAGCUAUCCUACGCCAC